rnacentral:rRNA from 1 species
UACGGAGGGUGCAAGCGUUAUCCGGAUUCACUGGGUUUAAAGGGUGCGUAGGUGGGCAGGUAAGUCAGUGGUGAAAUCUCCGGGCUUAACCCGGAAACUGCCAUUGAUACUAUCUGUCUUGAAUACCGUGGAGGUGAGCGGAAUAUGUCAUGUGGCGGUGAAAUGCUUAGAUAUGACAUAGAACACCAAUUGCGAAGGCAGCUCACUACACGAAUAUUGACACUGAGGCACGAAAGCGUGGGGAUAAAACAGG